GAGCGAAGCUUUUCAGUAGUUUACUACAGAAAAUGACUGAGCGGCGAACGGGUGAGUAACGCGUGAGCAAUCUACCUUAGUUACAGGAAUAGCCCGAGGAAACUCGGAUUAAUACCUGAUAUUCUUUAAAUUUCGCAUGAAAUUAAAAGGAAAGGUCAGCCGAACUAAGAUGAGCUCGCGUUCUAUCAGCUAGUUGGUGAGGUAAAAGCUUACCAAGGCUACGACGGAUAGCUGGUCUGAGAGGACGACCAGCCACACUGGGACUGAGACACGGCCCAGACUCCUACGGGAGGCUGCAGCAGGGAAUAUUGCGCAAUGAGCGAAAGCUUGACGCAGCGACACCGCGUGUGGGAUGACGGAUCUAGGUUUGUAAACCACUUUCAGGAGGGAAGAAAAUGACGGUACCUCCACAAGAAGCCCCGGCCAACUACGUGCCAGCAGCCGCGGUAAUACGUAGGGGGCGAGCGUUGUCCGGAUUUAUUGGGCGUAAAGAGCUCGUAGGCGGUUCAACAAGUCGGUCGUGAAAGCUCAGGGCUCAACCCUGAAAUGUCGAUCGAUACUGUUGUGACUAGGAUACGGUAGAGGUGAGUGGAAUUCCGAGUGUAGCGGUGAAAUGCGUAGAUAUUCGGAGGAACACCAAUUGCGAAGGCAGCUCACUGGGCCGCUAUCG
rnacentral:rRNA from 1 species